rnacentral:SRP_RNA from 2 species
UGUUGGUUCUCCCGCAACGCUACUCUAUUUACCAGGUCAGGUCCGGAAGGAAGCAGCCAAGGCAGAUGACGCGUGUGCCGGGAUGUAGCUGGCAGGG